AGCAAUUUGGCGCAGUGGAAGCGCGGUAUGUCUACAUCUCUAAUUAUUGGAUCAUCGGUUCGAAAUCUAACUCGUCCCAGCCGGGCUCAUAACCCGGAGGUCGCACGAUCGAAACGUGCAAUUGCUA